rnacentral:rRNA from 1 species
UUAAGCGACUAAGCGUACACGGUGGAUGCCCUGGCAGUCAGAGGCGAUGAAGGACGUGCUAAUCUGCGAAAAGCGUCGGUAAGGUGAUAUGAACCGUUAUAACCGGCGAUGUCCGAAUGGGGAAACCCAGUGUGAUUCGUCACACUAUCGUUAACUGAAUACAUAGGUUAACGAGGCGAACCGGGGGAACUGAAACAUCUAAGUACCCCGAGGAAAAGAAAUCAACCGAGAUUCCCCCAGUAGCGGCGAGCGAACGGGGAGCAGCCCAGAGUCUGAAUCAGCUUGUGUGUUAGUGGAACGGUCUGGAAAGUCCGACGGUACAGGGUGAUAGUCCCGUACACCAAAAUGCACAGGCUGUGAACUCGAAGAGUAGGGCGGGACACGUGGUAUCCUGUCUGAAUAUGGGGGGACCAUCCUCCAAGGCUAAAUACUCCUGACUGACCGAUAGUGAACCAGUACCGUGAGGGAAAGGCGAAAAGAACCCCGGCGAGGGGAGUGAAAAAGAACCUGAAACCGUGUACGUACAAGCAGUGGGAGCACCUUCGGGUGUGACUGCGUACCUUUUGUAUAAUGGGUCAGCGACUUAUAUUCUGUAGCAAGGUUAACCGUAUAGGGGAGCCGCAGGGAAACCGAGUCUUAACUGGGCGUUAAGUUGCAGGGUAUAGACCCGAAACCCGGUGAUCUAGCCAUGGGCAGGUUGAAGGUUGGGUAACACUAACUGGAGGACCGAACCGACUAAUGUUGAAAAAUUAGCGGAUGACUUGUGGCUGGGGGUGAAAGGCCAAUCAAACCGGGAGAUAGCUGGUUCUCCCCGAAAGCUAUUUAGGUAGCGCCUCGUGAACUCAUCUUCGGGGGUAGAGCACUGUUUCGGCUAGGGGGUCAUCCCGACUUACCAACCCGAUGCAAACUACGAAUACCGAAGAAUGUUAUCACGGGAGACACACGGCGGGUGCUAACGUCCGUCGUGAAGAGGGAAACAACCCAGACCGCCAGCUAAGGUCCCAAAGUCAUGGUUAAGUGGGAAACGAUGUGGGAAGGCACAGACAGCCAGGAUGUUGGCUUAGAAGCAGCCAUCAUUUAAAGAAAGCGUAAUAGCUCACUGGUCGAGUCGGCCUGCGCGGAAGAUGUAACGGGGCUAAACCAUGCACCGAAGCUGCGGCAGCGACACUAUGUGUUGUUGGGUAGGGGAGCGUUCUGUAAGCCUGCGAAGGUGACCUGUGAGGGUUGCUGGAGGUAUCAGAAGUGCGAAUGCUGACAUAAGUAACGAUAAAGCGGGUGAAAAGCCCGCUCGCCGGAAGACCAAGGGUUCCUGUCCAACGUUAAUCGGGGCAGGGUGAGUCGACCCCUAAGGCGAGGCCGAAAGGCGUAGUCGAUGGGAAACAGGUUAAUAUUCCUGUACUUGGUGUUACUGCGAAGGGGGGACGGAGAAGGCUAUGUUAGCCGGGCGACGGUUGUCCCGGUUUAAGCAUGUAGGCUGGUUAUCCAGGCAAAUCCGGAUAAUCAAGGCUGAGGUGUGAUGACGAGGCACUACGGUGCUGAAGUAACAAAUGCCCUGCUUCCAGGAAAAGCCUCUAAGCAUCAGGUAACAUCAAAUCGUACCCCAAACCGACACAGGUGGUCAGGUAGAGAAUACCAAGGCGCUUGAGAGAACUCGGGUGAAGGAACUAGGCAAAAUGGUGCCGUAACUUCGGGAGAAGGCACGCUGGUGUGUAGGUGAAGUCCCUGCGGAUGGAGCUGAGACCAGUCGAAGAUACCAGCUGGCUGCAACUGUUUAUUAAAAACACAGCACUGUGCAAACACGAAAGUGGACGUAUACGGUGUGACGCCUGCCCGGUGCCGGAAGGUUAAUUGAUGGGGUUAUCCGUAAGGAGAAGCUCUUGAUCGAAGCCCCGGUAAACGGCGGCCGUAACUAUAACGGUCCUAAGGUAGCGAAAUUCCUUGUCGGGUAAGUUCCGACCUGCACGAAUGGCGUAAUGAUGGCCAGGCUGUCUCCACCCGAGACUCAGUGAAAUUGAACUCGCUGUGAAGAUGCAGUGUACCCGCGGCAAGACGGAAAGACCCCGUGAACCUUUACUAUAGCUUGACACUGAACAUUGAGCCUUGAUGUGUAGGAUAGGUGGGAGGCUUUGAAGCGUGGACGCCAGUCUGCGUGGAGCCAACCUUGAAAUACCACCCUUUAAUGUUUGAUGUUCUAACGUUGGCCCCUUACCGGGGUUGCGGACAGUGUCUGGUGGGUAGUUUGACUGGGGCGGUCUCCUCCCAAAGCGUAACGGAGGAGCACGAAGGUUAGCUAAUCCUGGUCGGACAUCAGGAGGUUAGUGCAAUGGCAUAAGCUAGCUUGACUGCGAGCGUGACGGCGCGAGCAGGUGCGAAAGCAGGUCAUAGUGAUCCGGUGGUUCUGAAUGGAAGGGCCAUCGCUCAACGGAUAAAAGGUACUCCGGGGAUAACAGGCUGAUACCGCCCAAGAGUUCAUAUCGACGGCGGUGUUUGGCACCUCGAUGUCGGCUCAUCACAUCCUGGGGCUGAAGUAGGUCCCAAGGGUAUGGCUGUUCGCCAUUUAAAGUGGUACGCGAGCUGGGUUUAGAACGUCGUGAGACAGUUCGGUCCCUAUCUGCCGUGGGCGCUGGAGAAUUGAGGGGGGCUGCUCCUAGUACGAGAGGACCGGAGUGGACGCAUCACUGGUGUUCGGGUUGUCAUGCCAAUGGCACUGCCCGGUAGCUAAAUGCGGAAGAGAUAAGUGCUGAAAGCAUCUAAGCACGAAACUUGCCCCGAGAUGAGUUCUCCCUGAGACUUUAAGUCUCCUGAAGGAACGUUAAAGACGAUGACGUUGAUAGGCCGGGUGUGUAAGCGCAGCGAUGCGUUGAGCUAACCGGUACUAAUGAACCGUGAGGCUUAACCU